rnacentral:tRNA from 1 species
AUUUAUAUAGUUUAAAUAUAAAACAUUACAUUUUCAUUGUAAUAAUAAAAAAUUUUUUUUUUAUAAAUA